CUUCCACCAUGUGAGAACACAGCAAGAAGGCUCCAUCUAGGAACCAGGAAACCCUCACUAGACACUGAAUCUACCACACCUUGAUCUGGGACUUCCAGCCUCCAAAAAUGAAAAAGUUAUCCCAGACAGACAAAUUAGAUCCUGGUAGCUGAAAUGAUCUUAAAGCUGUCAACUACUAUAAGCACUUUCGCCUGCAGGUUCCAGACCGCUGAUGUCAGCCCAUGGAAGGAUUGAGGCACAGCUGUCUGCCCAGAGUCCCAGAGCACAGCACAGACAUCUUCCAGGAUUAUAAAUCGAGCAGCAUGUCAGCAGUUCUCAUGCCUAAUACCUGCACCGGCUGCUUCUAUGGGCCCAGGGAAGGACUUAUUUCUCUGCUAUACUUUUAUGGAUGAUUUCCUGGUUGUGGCAAGGGCUUCUGAGGCAUGCAUUCCUCAGUUGCCCUAAUCAGAUAGGUGCUUCAUGCACAGUAGUUGUCACAGUGACAUUUGUAUUAGUCUGUUCUCACACUACUAAUAAAGACAUACCCAAGACUGGGUAAGUUAUAAAGAAAAAGAGGCUUAAUGGACUCACAGUUCCACAUGGCUGG
rnacentral:lncRNA from 10 species